UACGAAGGGGGCUAGCGUUGUUCGGAAUUACUGGGCGUAAAGGGCGCGUAGGCGGUGUGUCAAGUCAGGCGUGAAAGCCCCGGGCUCAACCUGGGAACCGCGCUUGAGACUGGCACGCUAGAGUUCGGGAGAGGAUGGUGGAAUUCCACGUGUAGCGGUGAAAUGCGUAGAGAUGUGGAGGAACACCGAUGGCGAAGGCAGCCUCCUGGGCCAAUACUGACGCUCAUGCACGAAAGCGUGGGGAGCAAACAGG
rnacentral:rRNA from 1 species